GCAAUUCUAAGAUGAAAUUUCUGGGAAAAAAAAAAGGAGGAAGAGAAACCACUUCACAAAUGUUAGGUCAGUGGUACUUUAGAGGUGGGAUACCACAGACUGCCGUUAAGCUCAUGGCUGUGCUGGCUCCCAGUCAUGUGUGUAACCAUGUAGCUCUGUAAAACCCUAUUGCCACUGCUAGUAACAGGCCAUACAUUUCAUACUGGGUCUGCAAGGCCACAGGACUGAGGCUUGUCACAGGUUGGUCUGUGUCUGAAUUUUCUUGACUUGCCUGAAGCUUUGUUUUUCCUGGUUUAGCCAUGGCAGCAAUUCCUCUAACUGACAAACUGUCUAUGGCUAAUUUAUUACAUUUCUUUGUAUGGAAUUGCAACAUUUUUCAUAUUGAUAGUAGCAAGCAGUCAUCCUUUGUAGCAUGCUACUAUUUUGACAUGUCGUGUAGAGAAGCACAGGUCUGGUACAACAGCAGAAGCUUUGCAAAGUGGAGGCACAGGAUGUGGUUAUAGGAGAGUAGGAUGAGACAUGAGGCACAGGCUUGGCCCUGGAAACCCCACAGCAAUAAAUAACCCUCCAGUAGCCUGUUAGAAAUUGCAGACUUGUUACUGGAAAUAAAAUCUGAUUUUAGGUAACAAAGAAGUGGUGCGCAACAUACACAAAAGCAUCUGAAGUACGUAUAUGGUAAAUCUGGGUGUAACAUGGUGCUGCAGACUAAUGAAGAAAAAGCAAGAAGUAAAGAUGUGUUAGCAAACAUAAAAAUGAACCCAAGAGGAUCCUAGAGUGAGAAAGAAAUGACCAACAUAAACAUCACUUUUCUCCUGGCAAAGGACACUGGAUGUUGAUAACUCGCCAUAACCCACCACAAGCCAUGAGAAUGACCACAUUGACGCUAGGAUUGAAAGGAGCAGAAAAAGGUUUUCCUGCAGUCAGAGGAUUAUGUAGGAAAACAACGUCGGGACUGGCUGCUUAGGCAACUGUUCUUGAACUUACCAGACCUGAAGCUGUUUCUUGUUAGUGCAACAAGGCAAUGGAUGGAGACAAGGACUUGAGUGCUUCAGGACAGCUGCUGAGUCAUGAAGGUGGGUCUGAGAAACCUGAUAGCAAAACUAGGCAGAUUAGUUGUAUUUAAUAGCAGCUACUGAGAACAGUAUUCAUGAGAUAAUAAGGAAGCAAAAGGAGCGUAAGAAAAACUACCUGGAGAGCACAGCUAGCUCAUCAAGAAGGGUUUUCUUGUGAAGGUACUAUUUAUUCGAAAACAAGUGUACACCAGUAAACACAGACCUGCUACCAUCCAGUGAAACAGCCUGCUCCAGAUCUUCUGUAUUAGUGAAACACUUUGUGAGCAUGAUUUCCCUUUGCCAGGAUUUCAGAAAUUGAUGGAUUACUUAAUAACUUCAGGCAAGACCAACUAUGAAAAGCAUACAUCUUCUUAAAGCAUUUGUUACAGAUAUACAUUAAUAUCAAGGAUGAUGGUGACUAUUUGGAAAGAUUCCUUCUAUGUACCGAGCAUAUCUUCAGACAGUAAGGCCUUGACUGACUGUCAAUGCCUUUCUGAUGCUGGAAAUAAUUACUUUCACAGCUUUGCAGUGGUCUGGGGCUUAACUCCUGGAUACUAUGCCAGAGUGUUAAUAGGCUUUCUUUUGGCAAGGGGAUUCCCAGGAAUACUUUUGAGUGUUCGUUAGAAGAGAAUUAUGUUUAAAGGCAGGAGCUGAACUUGGCUUCAGCAGACUCAUAAUUGUUCUGUGUAUGUUAUCUGCACAUUGACAUAAGAGUAACACUCAAAGCUGUUCAACCACAAUAAACAGAAAAAAAAAAAAUAAUAAUAAUGACCUACAAAAUAGUCUAGUCCUAAGGAGAAAUACAACAGUUCCAUUUAAGCUAUUCUGGAAGAACUGGAAGCAUUGUUUUAUGAAACACGUAUGAGUUCAGUGACAGACACACAAUCAAAAUGCUAUUGGUUAGGCAAAAUAUACUAUUUUGUUAUUUAUUUUUCUCUGGAGAAAAUAAAGAGCUGAGAAAUUGGAAAAAAAAAGAAAAAACUACACCGUAUUUGGAAUUGUCUAAAUGUGUAGUUUUGGUAUUUGGAGUCUUAGCACAGCAGCUUGCUAUUCCUGGCUGGAAAUGUUUUGGGUUUUAACGUUUGCCUGAGCUUUAUAGGAGCUGUAUUUUGGGCAGGUGUCUGCCUGUCAGAAUGAAUAAAAGUUAUGAGAUGA